AAUUGGCAGUGCUGAUGUCGUUAAUGUCUCUGAUUCAUUUCCCAAAGAGAAGAGAGAAACAUAGGCGGAGAGGAAGCUGGGAUUUAUUUGGAUUCUUUGCUUCCAAAUGCAACACCCCCUCCAAUUACAUCUCUUACUACCUCAAUUAACCAUUAGCCCAAGGUUAUUUUUUUUCCCUCCAGGGUGGUGAGUAAGCAAAAUGCUUGAGCAGCAACCUCUAUGCUAAUUCUGCAGUAGAGGCUGACUGAGAUUGUGAGAAGCCCUGCUCUAUUUGCAUUCAUUCAGCCGUCCCUUUGUAAAACAGUGACCCACCCUGCGGUAAUUGUAAAAUCCACUGCGCUGACCAGGAGAAUCCCAGAGUUCCAGCUCACUGCUACCUCUGCUCUUCCCUCAAGAACAGGAUCAAGGAGUUUGCAGACUGUGUCUUGAUGGAGCAGCUGAACACACAGUAAAUGCUCCCAGGAGCGUCCCCUGUGCCUGCACACAAGAGGUGUGAGCCCUGCGCCUGGCUGAGCUUGUGGACAAGACCCUUCCUGGUCUGGCUUGAAAGUUAUCAUCUAAAUUCAACUAAUGACCGAAGAAUAUGGAACCACAGGAGUCAUGAGGAUUUCGUUAAUCUGUGUCAGCUGUUUGUGGUUUGGUCCUUUGCGGUUCGUUCUGAACAGAGCUGCAAGGCUGCUUGCCCUCAAGUGUUUGAAGCCACCCACACACUUUUGAAGUAUUGCCUCCGGCAGCUGAC
ensembl:lncRNA